AUCCAGCUGACGAGUUCAAAUUAGGAUGAAAUGCGCAUCCUAAAU
rnacentral:hammerhead_ribozyme from 1 species